CUACGGGUGGCAGCAGUGGGGAAUAUUGGACAAUGGGCGAAAGCCUGAUCCAGCCAUGCCGCGUGUGUGAAGAAGGCCUUCGGGUUGUAAAGCACUUUCAGUGGGGAAGAAAGCCUUGGGGCUAAUACCCUCGAGGAAGGACAUCACCCACAGAAGAAGCACCGGCUAACUCCGUGCCAGCAGCCGCGGUAAUACGGAGGGUGCGAGCGUUAAUCGGAAGUACUGGGCGUAAAGCGCGCGUAGGCGGUCUGAUAAGCCGGUUGUGAAAGCCCCGGGCUCAACCUGGGAACGGCAUCCGGAACUGUCAGGCUAGAGUGCAGGAGAGGAAGGUAGAAUUCCCGGUGUAGCGGUGAAAUGCGUAGAGAUCGGGAGGAAUACCAGUGGCGAAGGCGGCCUUCUGGACUGACACUGACGCUGAGGUGCGAAAGCGUGGGUAGCAAACAGGAUUAGAUACCCCUGUAGUC
rnacentral:rRNA from 1 species